rnacentral:rRNA from 1 species
CCUACGGGCGGCAGCAGUGAGGAAUAUUGGUCAAUGGCCGGAAGGCUGAACCAGCCAUGCCGCGUGAAGGUCAGUGCCCUAUGGGCGUUAAACUUCUUUUGUGCGGGAGCAAUAAUGGUCACGUGUGGCCAGACGAGAGUACCGUACGAAUAAGCAUCGGCUAACUCCGUGCCAGCAGCCGCGGUAAUACGGGGGAUGCAAGCGUUAUCCGGAUUUAUUGGGUUUAAAGGGUGCGUAGGCUGUGAAGUAAGUCAGCGGUGAAAUGCCCCCGCUCAACGGGGUGAAGUGCCAUUGAUACUGCCUGGCUGGAGUGCGGAUGCCGUGGGAGGAAUGUGUGGUGUAGCGGUGAAAUGCAUAGAUAUCACACAGAACACCGAUUGCGAAGGCAUCUCACGAAUCCGCGAUUGACGCUGAUGCACGAAAGCGUGGGUAUCAAACAGGAUUAGAUACCCCAGUAGUC